ACGUAUUAGUUUUAAAAUGUUUCAAUUACUGUCAAACCCUAACUACAAACGCCAUGCAAAAGAAUCGGCAGGUGGCUAUUAUCGCUGGCAUUUAGGAUGUAUUUCUUUCAGAAAAAUGCGAUUGAACUGCAGUUGGAAUUUUGAACCAUCUUCCCCUAAUUAACGAGGUUUCGCUCGUGUCGCUUCGGAGUGUCAGUCAGUGCGAGGUAUGAUGGGAUACACCAUCAUAGGUGUUGUUUAUUCCACCAUGAUUUUUGAGUAAAUCAUCCUAAUUGAUUUAGAGAAGUAUAUUCAGGUGUUUCAAUGCUGGUCGUAACGGUUUUCUGAUUGCUCCGAUAAACUGAAAACAAUUUCGACUCCAAUUUCCCCCGCCGUCUAACGAAAUGCCAUAAACCGAUCGAAAUUAGCUUCCCACUGAUUGAUUGCCAAAUUCAAUUCAUGAUCCGCUAUGCUCUGAAGCGGGUGGCUAGAUACGAACAGGUCCAUAAAAAUUCCUUAUCGCUAACCAUUCGCCAUGGAGUGAAGAACUUCAAACACCUUUUAGUCGAGGACCAUCCCACGCAUCAACAUCAUCAUCAUCAUCAUUUUCCCCGUCACCACAUUUCGGUUCAGCUGAGCCGGGUGUUGUUCGAGUGGCCAUAAAUCUUGGCCACUUAUUCCGCCGAAUGUGCGUUUUAUGGCCAUGAGAAGUCAUCGCAGGGAGGCAACAAGCCGUUUGGGAGUUCUGGAUUGGAAAGAGCUAUAAGCACUUCUAGAAUGGUCGAUGCGUGGUGGAAAUCAUGGCAAGGAUUCAAUCGGUUUUUCACGCCCAGCCUUGAAUGGAUCCAGUUAGUAACGACUUCUGGAGAUAUUGCAAUUUUACAAAAUUCUGAAAAGGUUCUGGGGAAAGAUCUAUGACAGGAUUGAAACCAUAAAUUGCAGAUAAAAGAAAGUUGAAAUUGUUUACUAGUAAACUCCAAUAAAUAUCACUCUGAAUUCAAAUCGAAA